AUUGAACGCUAGCGGCAUGCUUAACACAUGCAAGUCGAACGCGUGGCGGACGGGUGAGUAAUAUAUCGGAACGUGCCCUGUAGCGGGGGUUAACUACUGGAAAGGGUGGUUAAUACCGCUUACCAUUGGAGCGGCCGUUAUCGGAUUAGCUAGUUGGUGGGGUAAAGGCUUACCAAGGCAACGAUCCGUAGCUGGUUUGAGAGGGCGACCGGCCACACUGGGACUGAGACACGGCCCAGACUCCUACGGGAGGCAGCAGUGGGGAAUUUUCGGCAAUGGGGGAAAGCCUGAUGCAGCCAUGCCGCGUGAGUGAGAAGGCCUUCGGGUUGUAAAGUACUUUUGGCAGGGAAGCGGUAUCUGAAGAGUAAGCACCGGCUAACUACGUGCCAGCCGCCGCGGUAAUAC
rnacentral:rRNA from 1 species